UACAGAGGUCCCAAGCGUUACUGAGAAUCACUGGGGUUAAAGGGUGCGUAGGUGGUCCGUUAAGUCAGUUGUGAAAUCCCCGGGCUCAACCCGGGAACUGCUUCUGAUACUGGCGGACUUGAGGCCAGUAGGGGUCACUAGAACUGACGGUGGAGCGGUGAAAUGCGUAGAUAUCGUCAGGAAUGCCGGUGGUGAAGACGGGUGACUGGGCUGGUUCUGACACUGAGGCACGAAAGCGUGGGGAGCGAACGGG
rnacentral:rRNA from 1 species